rnacentral:lncRNA from 1 species
AAAGUCAAAAUUCCCGGCCGGAGUCGCCUCUCCUAGAAAAGAUUCUCCUCGAAAAUGGCCAAGAGGUCGCUCUGGAAGUUCAUGUCGAUCGUCGCCGCCAUCUGCAAACAAAAACAUUUAAAAAAAAAAACCAAAAAAUUGGGAACAAAAUUUUCCCAAAUUUUUUAAAGAUUUUUUUUGGGGCAUUUCCAGAUUUUUUUGGGGGGAUUUUUGGCUUUUUUUGGAGUAAUUUUUGGCUAUUUUUAUUUCAUUUUUUUGAGUCAUUUUGGGCUUUUUUUAGGGUCAUUUUUGGCUUUUUUUGGGCAUUUUUUGGGUCAUUUUUGGCCUUUUUUUUGUAUUUUUGGGGGUAAUUUUGGCUUUUUUGGGGAUUUUUUGGGGCCCUUUUUGGGUCAUUUCUGGCUUUUUUUGGAGGGUAAUUUUUGGCUUUUUUGGGGCUUCCUUCAGGGACUUUUUGAGGCUUUUUGGGGUUUUUUUUAGGGUCAUUUCUGGAUUUUUUCCUUGGGGUCAUUUCUGGGUUUUUUUGGGUCAUUUCUGGAAUUUUUGGGUCUUUUUUGGGACCAUACAAGAAUUUCCCCCAGUUUUUGUGCCCUUUUUCCCACCAAUAUUUUGAUUAUUCCCCCAUUUCUGGGCCCCCUUUUUCAGAAAUAUUCUGAUUAUUUCCCCAAUUUUGGGGACCAUUUUUGGUAUUUUUUGGGGACCAUCCUGACGUUUUCCCCCCAUUUUUUGUGCCCCCUUUUCCCAGCAAUAUUUUGAUUAUUCCCCCAUUUUUUGUGCCCCCUUUUCCCAGCAAUAUUUUGAUUAUUCCCCAUAAUUUUGUGCCCCUUUUCCCAGCAAUAUUUUGAUUAUUCCCCCAUAAUUUUGUGCCCCCUUUUCCCAGCAAUAUU